rnacentral:rRNA from 1 species
GCAUAUCAAUAAGCGGAGGAAAAGAAACUAACAAGGAUUCCCCUAGUAACGGCGAGUGAAGAGGGAAGAGCCCAAGAUUGAAAGCUGGCGUCUUCGGCGUCCGCAUUGUAAUCUCAAGAAGUGUUUUCCGCUUCGGACCAUGCCUAAGUCCCUUGGAAAAGGGCAUCAUAGAGGGUGAUAAUCCCGUACAUGGCAUGGAGCGCCCGAAGCUUUGUGAUACGCUUUCUAAGAGUCGAGUUGUUUGGGAAUGCAGCUCAAAAUGGGUGGUAAAUGCCAUCUAAGGCUAAAUAUUGGGGAGAGACCGAUAGCGAACAAGUACAGUGAUGGAAAGAUGAAAAGAACUUUGAAAAGAGAGUUAAACAGUACGUGAAAUUGCCAAAAGGGAAGGGUAGGAGGUCAGAGAUGCGUUCUGGGAUUCAGCCUUGCUUUUGCUUGGUGUUUUUCCCAGUUUGCAGGCCAACGUCGGUUUUGGGCGCUGGAGAAGGGUGGAAGGAAUGUGGCACCCCUCGGGGUGUGUUAUAGCCUUCUACUGGAUACAGUGACCGAGACCGAGGACAGCAGCGUACUCGCAAGAGCGGGCCUUCGGGCACCUUUACGCUUAGGGCGUUGGCAUAAUGGCCCUCUACCACCCGUCUUGAAACACGGACCAAGGAGUC